AAUUGACGGGGGCCCGCACAAGCGGUGGAGCAUGUGGUUUAAUUCGAUGCAACGCGAAGAACCUUACCUGGUCUUGACAUCCACAGAACUUUCCAGAGAUGGAUUGGUGCCUUCGGGAACUGUGAGACAGGUGCUGCAUGGCUGUCGUCAGCUCGUGUUGUGAAAUGUUGGGUUAAGUCCCGCAACGAGCGCAACCCUUAUCCUUUGUUGCCAGCGGUUCGGCCGGGAACUCAAAGGAGACUGCCAGUGAUAAACUGGAGGAAGGUGGGGAUGACGUCAAGUCAUCAUGGCCCUUACGACCAGGGCUACACACGUGCUACAAUGGCAUAUACAAAGAGAAGCGACCUCGCGAGAGCAAGCGGACCUCAUAAAGUAUGUCGUAGUCCGGAUUGGAGUCUGCAACUCGACUCCAUGAAGUCGGAAUCGCUAGUAAUCGUAGAUCAGAAUGCUACGGUGAAUACGUUCCCGGGCCUUGUACACACCGCCCGUCACACCAUGGGAGUGGGUUGCAAAAGAAGUAGGUAGCUUAACCUUCGGGAGGGCGCUUACCACUUUGUGAUUCAUGACUGGGGUGAAGUCGUAACAAGGUAACCGUAGGGGAACCUGCGGUUGGAUCACCUCCUUA
rnacentral:rRNA from 1 species